UUGUCCUUUUAAGAAGACUAAAGAUUAGUUCACUCAAACAUUAUAUAUAUUUUUUAAUCCUUUUCACCUAUAUUCUAUCUCAGCUGUUGACUUUUGUUGUUCAUUAUCUGUUCUGUUGUUCAUAUAUUUAACAAACAAUGUCUUUAACAAUAUGGAUUAUUCGCCUGUUUGCCCACACAUUUUAUAGUUACAAAUAUUUUCGUUAUAGAUUUGUUUCUCACAAAUAAAUAGCAUUUCUCUUCAGAAGACUGAGUGACAAGACUAAAAUGGAAUAAUAAUGUGCUUUAUAAACAGUGUUGGGCAACUUACUGAAAAUUAGUAAUUAGUUACAGUUACUUCUUUUAAAAGUAACUGAAAUACUCUACCAGUUACUGUAUAUCAAAAGUAAUUAGUUAAUAAGAAAAGUAACUUUUAAGUUACUUUUAUGUCUGCUUUUUAAAUGUAAAUAUGAACAGUACUGAACAGUCAAACAAUAAAAUAAUAUGGAUGGGCUAUUUUACACGUUUAGGCUAAUUCACAUUGCGCAGACAAAUGCCGACAGACGCGUCUGUCAGUGUUUGUUGGACCAGUGUGAUACCCCUGUCUGUGUCUGUUUGUGUUGGUCGGAGUCUGUUUUCACCCGACUGAACAUGUUCAAUCGGAGUUUGUAGCGUCGUGGACUGUCUGAGCAGUGUGGUAUACUUUUCCAACAAACGCAAACAAACUCUGACAUAUCUGCGAAACGUUGCCAUGACGACGAGGCAAGUCCAUUGAAAAGACGGGUAGUAAAAGGGGCUGAGUUAAAGUAAAAAUGGCAGGUUUCUGGACAAAUCAGAAAGAAGAGGAGUUAGUGGAUCUUUGGGAAGAGAGACCAGAGCUGUAUGCAGUGGGUGUGUCCAUUUACACCAACCGCAACGCAAGAGGGAAUGCGUUUAGAUCGAUCGCUACAGCGCUUGGGGUUUCAGAAGCUGAGGUAAAGAAGAAAAUAGAAAAUAUGAGGACACAGUAUAACAGAUACUUAAAAUCCAUCUGGAAGCGGCAGUAAUCAUACUCCAAGGCAGGAGUGGUUCCUGAGGAGACUUAAGUUUUUAGAGCUGCACAUGAGAAAGAGACCCUCGACAUCAAACCUUGAUGUUCACAAUGACUCUUCAACUACUACUUCAACUGAGGAGGGUGAAAGUGAAGACAGAGGUGAGGAUAGAGUAGAGGAUAAAGAAGAUGAAGAACAAGACAAGGAAGAGGAGGAGGAAGAAGAAGAGGAAGCCAUCCCACCUAGUAGACUACAAAAAAAAAACGCCGUAAAAGACAACCUGACCCUGCUUAGGCUCAAGACCUUGUCAUUCUUGGGGCAAUAAAUGAAACUCUAAAAGUGCUGACAGAGAAUCACCAACACAAUCUGCAGCCACCCAAGAAUGACAGCAUACAUGCCUUUUGUCAGUUUAUGGAGCAACAGUUAAGAGCAAUUGACGAUCCACACCACCUACAAUAUAUACAAUUUCAAAUUCAUCAGAUACUGUUUUCCCCUCGUCCUUCAUCAAGCCAAUAUGCACUUACAUAUUUACAUCCACUGUAAUACACAAACGACUAAACUGCAUUAAUUUAUUUUUUUAUGGGUGCAGGUUCAGGUCUUUGUUUGUUUGUUCUGUAUAUUUUGAUUUGACUGUAUUUGCCAAUAGUUACACAUGUAUGUAUUUUCCAAGUUUAUCCUGUUCCAUUGUUUUAUUUUAGUUUUAGUGUAAGAAUGUAAAAUAAUAAUUGACUGAUGCAAUUCAAUAAAGAA